rnacentral:tRNA from 1 species
GCCGAUGUGGCGGAAUUGGUAGACGCGCUACUUUGAGGGGGUAGUAAGCUAUGCUUGUGUCGGUUCGAUUCCGGCCAUCGGCA